rfam:Pseudallescheria apiosperma strain IHEM 14462 SEQ_SAPIO_0165, whole genome shotgun sequence.
GGCAAGAUGGCGGAGUGGUUAACGCGUUGGCCUGCUACCAGUAGUGAGCCAAUCCCUUCGGGGGCGUGAGUUCGAAUCUCACUCUUGUCG